UACGAAGGGAGCUAGCGUUGUUCGGAAUCACUGGGCGUAAAGCGCACGUAGGCGGAUGUGUCAGUCAGGGGUGAAAUCCCGGAGCUCAACUUCGGAACUGCCCUUGAUACAGCACGUCUUGAGUCCGGAAGAGGUGGGUGGAAUUCCUAGUGUAGAGGUGAAAUUCGUAGAUAUUAGGAAGAACACCGGUGGCGAAGGCGGCCCACUGGUCCGGUACUGACGCUCAUGCACGAAAGCGUGGGGAGCAAACAGG
rnacentral:rRNA from 1 species